rnacentral:rRNA from 1 species
ACACGCUACAAUGGUCAAGCACGAAUAGGUAGCCAAGCCGCGAGGUGGAGCCAAUCCUCAAAGCUGGCCUCAGUUCAGAUCGCAGGCUGCAACCCGCCUGCGUGAAGCCGGAGUUGCUAGUAACCGCAGGUCAGCUAUACUGCGGUGAAUACGUUCCCGGGGCUU